rfam:Capsicum annuum cultivar Zunla-1 chromosome 8, whole genome shotgun sequence
GGAUGGUGAUGACGACAACUCCUAAGCAUGCCCUUGAAUCUCUCCCAAGCUUGCUAGAUAUUUUCUCCAUCUUUUUGCCUAAAACUCAAUCUCUUACUCCUUAAUCG